CUUGUCUCUCUUAAUGGUCUUUUUUCUUGAGAAUUUGUCACAUUUUUCUGGUCCUUUGUAUAUUGAGUAAAUUUGAAUUUUUUCUUGGAUACUUUAAAUUUUAUGUUAUGGGAACUCUGGAUUGUGUAAUAUUUCUCUGAAGAGUAUUAAUUAGUUGUAACAAAAACUAAUUUGGUGGGACUCUACAAAAUCCAUCUCUUGGUAAGUAGCUCAUAUCAUCGUUCAGUUGUUUUAUCCUUCUCUGGAGUUUGUUCCACGCGUGUGAGGGUCGGGUGGUGUCAUAGAUUUGGGUUAGGUUAUGCACACAAAAUUUUGGUUUUUCCUCCCUAGUGCUGUCCGUUCUGUGAUAUUACCCUCAGUUUCCAAUGGCUGUGGCUGCCCUGCACUCUGUGGUUCUUUAGGGCAGAAAAACAGUUUUUCUGUUGUGUUCUACUUGUGUUCUCCUGCUUCACCUAGCAUUGACCCUCAUGCUAAAACUUAUAAAAAUGGAAGAUUUACCCAGUGUCAUCCUUUUUCCCCAAGUGUUGACUUUCCUAUAGAAUAUGCCUUUUAGUGCUUUCCAAUUGUUUUUCCUUUCUCCUCUGUGUGUAUGUCUCUGUUUUUUUGCUACAUUUCCCCAUUUUUAUCUGCAUGAAGAGGUCUAGCAGAAUUCUGAUUGUAUAUUCUUAAAGCAGAUUUUCCCUCAAGAGCUAUAAUUUGGAGACAUGUGAUUCUCUCCCUCCUCCUAUCCCAACACAUUCUACGUAUCAGGCACGGUACUAAGCCAGGUAAGUAUUUCGCACACAUCAGUAAUUUAUAUAUCACUGCCAUUAAUUUUGCCACUUUAAUAUUACACUUGUAAUGUGUUAGCUUAUUUUUAAAAGAAUCAUAUUUUCAUUCCAUUUUAUUUAUUUGCUUUUAAAACUUUUUAUUUUGAGACAAAUUUAGACUUAUACAAGAGUUGAAAAAUAUUACCGUGAAUUCCUGGAUAACCUUCUUCCAGCUUCCUCUUAUGUUACCAUCUUCUAUAAGCAAAGAUUUAUCCUUGGCACAAGUAUCGUUAUACUUGUGACAGCAGUUACAAUGCUGUCAGCUAAAAUACAGAAUGUAUUCAGAUUUUACCAGUUUUCCCAUUAAUGUCCCUUUUCUCGUCUAGCAUCGAAUUCAGGACUCCACGUUAUAAGUAGCUGGCACGUCUCCUUAGUCUCUUCAACUUGGUGACACUUCCCCAGUCUUUCUUGAUCUUUCAUUCCUGAUGCUUUUGAACAGCACUGGUAAGUUAUGUUUUAGAAUGUCCCUCAGUUUGGCGUUUCAGAUGGUUCCUUAUGAGGAGAUUGAAGUUAGAGGCAUUAUUUCAGGAUAUUGAUAGGAUGCUUCAGAGAUGAUGCUCCUCCCUCAGUGCAUGAUAUCAGGGAGCACAUGGUGUCAGUUUAUUAUUAGGCUAGAGAGAAUAUUUACAUACUCAUAUUAAUGCAGUCCCUGAUUACUGACUUAAUUAAAAGAAUGAUAUAUUGGGAGGAUGGGAGAGGGGAGACACAGGUUGUGCAAAAUUAAGCUGAAUCUUUGACAAUGUUUGUAGAAUUUCUAAAUCAAGAAAUAACGACAUAAGCAAUUGGACAUGUGGAAGCAACUGCUGAUAGCGUGCAGACAUAAUAUAGGUAAUAUUAGCUAAAGGUAUUCAAGAGGAGAGAGAUCAUGAAAAAAGGCUUAGUUGUCUUUUGUCAAAGUCUCAAUGUUUGAGAAAUAGGUCAAAUAAAUAGUGUGCGUUCUUUUUUCAAAAACUCAGUGGAGCAGACCUAUAACAACCUCCAACGCAAGUUGAGACAUGCCUGUUGGUAUAAAAGGGGCUUUGUUCAGACCACAGUGAUUACAUAUUGUAUGGAUAGAGCACAUCCCGGUCAAGAAUUAGGAUGUAACAGGUUGAGUUGAUAUCCCUCAAGAUGCAUAAUUCUUUUUCUGAGAUUCUGAGAAUGGAGGGGGUCAGGAAUUGACCUCUGCCACUGAUUAGAAAGAAAUCUGGCACAGAUAACCUUCUAGUUUGCUUGAAUGAGGAAAUUUGAACAUCAGAUGGUGUUAAUUAGGUGUUUACAGGCUAUUUCACUGACACAAAAAGGAUAUUAUCGCUGUUCUCCCUUGCACUUCAGCACCUGGAGUGUCUCAGACAAUAGCAAAUUCACAUAAUGAGCAAUGUGAAAUGGCAAGUGAUUAUGACUGAACAAAUUGAGCUUGUGGAAUCUCACAGGCAUGCUCAUUUCCUCCUUACAACUCUGGAAUAGCCCUGUCUCUUUGGAAAGCCUGCUGCUUGUUCCAGGAGCUUCAGCAAUCCAGGAAGGACCACCUGGAGAAGCCCAAGAGGGGCCAGUCAGGAGAGAGAGGAGAACUUUUCAUUAUUUCUUCUGCAGACUCUGAAAAUCCAAAGAGAGAUAAAAACAAGAAACCAAAGUGAGACAUAGAAGAUAGGUUGGGAGAGACUGCUUUCUGCUGUUACCAUCUGGGGACAAACGGCUCGAUGCUUUGAUGUACACCUGAUAACCAUGUAUGGCUGCAUCUCCUUGAAAUUGUCUCCACGCCACUAAGGACCAACCAGGAUCACCUCAGGCUGACCUCCUUUGAGGAUACCCAUAGCAAUGGAAGUCCUGCCAAGUUCGGCACUGCACCCAGCAACACCUGGGAAGACAGUAAGUCUUCAGGUACAGGCUAUAAAAGAAAUAGGACUAUGAGAGAUUAAAGGAAUCAUUACAAAGUCUCUCCUAUGGUUUCUCCAUGAGCCUCAUGGUUUGUUUCCAUCCCAUGACACAUCACUGAUUCAGAUAAAUGAAAGAAAGCCUGAAGAAAAGGCAGUGGAUUGCUCUGAAUAUCAGAUCAUGUCAACAUUCUUCCAAAAACCCUGUCCGUGAUUACUUGAUAUACUAGGAAUAAAGACUAGACUCCCAAGCGUGGUGUACAAGGUGCCAAGUUAUCUGGCACCACCCGGCUCUCUGAUCUUGCCUGCUAUUCUCUUCCCUUACUUGUUGAUCCGAGCUCCCUUGUUUGCCAUCUUCUUCCGUGGCUCUGCCUCAGGAAGAAGGCAGAGCAUUUGCUUGCAUUUGCUGUUUCCUCUGCCCUCGGUACUUUGUGUUGUUGGCUGCUUCUCACUUUUUAGUUCUCUGCUUAGAUGUCAGUGGAUUCCCAUGACUGGUCUACCUAAAUAAACAAGUCCCUUUUUCUGAAUCA